rnacentral:lncRNA from 1 species
UAGUUCAGUAUUCAAUAUCGGGUGAAACCACCACGUGCUUGGAUGCAGGCCUCAACCCUGCGUUUCAUCCCUCCAGUUAGUCGUCGGAUUUCCUGCUGUGGUAUUUGCCGCCAUUCCCGGCGCAACGCUGCUUCCAACUGACGUAAAUUUUGUACAGGUGGUUCGGUUGCCUGUACCCGACGGCCUCACGUGUCUCAAAUAUGCUCUAUCGGAUUUAAAU